rnacentral:lncRNA from 1 species
AAGCAAAGAAAUUCAAAUAGGAGCUGAAAAUGAGUUAACUAGGCAAUGAAACAGUGAUAUAUUCUGGGUUUUUUUUAUUUUAAAUUUUUUUAAUUUUUGAAGGUUUGAAUCUAAAAAAUACAGAUCUGAAAAAUAAGGAAAAGAAGACUUCUGAGAGAUUUUUGAUUGCUGAAAAGUACUUGGAAUUUUCAGGGAGUCUAAAACUUGUUAGUGAAGGAAUUGAGGUUUCCUUUUAUAGGCAACAAAUAGGGUAGAAUGUUCUAGAUGACACUCACACAUUUUUUCUCUUUUUAUUUUAGAUUUCACCUAUUAGUCCUUUAAUUUCUGACUUGUUUCUCAAGUUGCUAUCAUAAUUUUACUGAAUUAUACACUAAACUCCUAUUCUAGAAGGCCCUACGCUGUUCUUUUAGCUAUACAAUACCUAUACUACCCCUAUCUUGAUUAUAAAAUUACUAUUUCUCAUAAAAUAACCCUUUUCUAUGUCUAAGCUAUCCUUAUUUACCACCUGAAAUUACUAACUCCAGCUGACUACACCAAACCCCUUACCGUUGGUUAAAAUCUAACUAGAGUUAACUAAAAAGGAUAAUGUAUUCAGCUAUAUCCAAAUAACCUAUUUUAAACACUACCCUAAAUAACAGUAAUAUUGAAGUAACACUGAAUUAACAAUUAACAACUAACAUAAACUGAAUCAAAUAUGGGUCGAAUCCAGAAGGAUAAAACAAAUCAAAAUCAAUAUGAACAAAUUAACACCUUCUUUGACCAAAUUAAAAGUAAACUAAUCUUUAUAGUACCAGACUUUAAACCUCUAACAACGUUUUAUGGCUAACUAUUGAACAAGGUCAAAACCCAAAUUAAUCUUCAAAUGAACAGGACAGGGAGAAAUCUAUCUAUACUAAAUAUUAAUUGCCGAUUAAGCUAUUAACCGAAGUAACAAAAGAGGAAAGAACUCAGAAUCGACUUAAUUAACGUACUACUAAUUAACAAAGAAACAUGGAUUACACUAACGAAGGUCAAACCAAAGAAGACGAGCAAAAGAAACUUAUAAAAUAGUAAAACUAGAAGAGAAGACUCACCCAGGUUUCCACAUAAUAUAUUAGACUAAUGAAUCAGUGAGCUUCGAAGAUGAUCAUGCAACAAAUGUGUUUUUCAUUUCAUGAAGAAGUUUACAUCGAUUCCAAAUGUGUACCUUUAAAGGGAUUUGAUAGAGGAAAGAGAUUGGCUACAAUAAACAGAUGAGCAGCAGCACAAUAGUACUUGAAAACCCAGAAAAUAGAAGGAAUAGCCCAGAAACUAAUUGAAUACUGCAGGAUUAACAACAGAUGAUUCCAGCAGUAGAGAAAAACCAAACCAAACCCCAAUAUUGUUUCAAAAUCAAAUGGGACCUCAUAAUUAACCCAAAAACAGUACCAGAAUGCUUAGAUAUUUGACCCAAAUCUAAUCGACCAGCUACUAAAUACCUUCAGAUACCCUUGUAAACCAAAAUCAAAGUAGAAGCAAAGAAAUUCAAAAAGAAGCUUAAAAUGAGUUAACUAGGCAAUGAAACAGUGAUUUAUUCUGAAUUGUUUUGAGUAUUUGUUUUUCUUUUUAAUGAUUUUUUGAAGGUUUGAAUCUAAAAAAUACAGAUCUGAAAAAUAAGGAAAAGAAGACUUCUGAGAGAUUUUUGAUGGCUGAAAGGUACAUGGAAUUUUCAGGGAGUCUAAAACUUGUUAAUGAAGGCAUUGAGGUUGCCUUUUAUAGGCAACAAAUAGGGUAGAAUGUUCUAGAUGACACUCACACAUUUUUUCUCUUUUAAUUUCAGAUUUCACCUAUUAGUCCUUUAAUUUCUGACCUGUUUCUCAAGUUGUUGUCCCAAUUUUACUGAAUUAUACACUAAACUCCUAUUCUUGAUGGCCCUACGCUGUUCUUUUAGCUAUACAAUACCUAUACUACCCCUAUAUUGAUUUUAAAAUUACUAUUCCUCAUAAAACAACCCUUUUCUAUGUCUAAGCAACCCUUAUUUACCACCUGAAAUUACUAACUCCAGCUGACUUCACCAAACCCCUUACCCUUGGCUAAAAUCUAACUAGAGUUAUUUAAAAAGGAUAAUGUAUUCAGCUAUAUCAAAACAAACUAUUUUAAACACUAAUCUAAUUAACACUAAUAUUGAAUUAACACUGAAUUAACAAUUAACAACUAACAAAAACUGAAACAAAUUUGGGUCGAACCCAGCAGGGCAAAACAAAUCAAAAUUAAUAUGAACAAAUUAACACCUUCUUUGAACAAAUUAAAAGUAAACUAAACUUUGGACUUUAAACCUCUAACAAUGUUUUAUGGCUAACUAUUGAACAAGGUCAAAACCCAAAUUAAUCUUCAAACGAACAAGACAGGGAGAAAUCUAUCUAAACUAAAUAUUAAUCUAACCGAUUAAGCUAUUAAAUGAAGUAACGAAAGAGGAAAGAACUUAGAAUCGACCUAAUUAACGUACUACUAAUUAACAAAGAAACAUGGACUACACUAACGAAGGUCAAACCAAAGAAGACGAGCAAAAGAAACUGAUAAAAUAAUAAAAACUAGAAGAGAAGACUCACCUAGAUUUCCGAAUAAAAUAUUAGACUAAUGAAUCAGUGAGCUUCGAAGAUGAUCUGGUAGCAAAUGUAUUUUUCAUUUCAUGAACGAGUUUACAUAGAUUCCGUUUCCAAAUAAAAUAUUAGACUAAUGAAUCAGUGAGCUUCGAAGAUGAUCAUGUAGAAAAUGUGUUUUUCAUUUCAUAAACGAGUUUACAACGAUUCCAAAUGUGUACCUGGAAGGGGAUUUGAUAGAGGAAAGACAUCAGUUACAGUAAACAGAUUAGCAGCAGCACGGUAGUACUUGAAAACCCAGAAACUAGAAGGAAUAGCCCAUAAAAAAAUUGAAUGCUGCAGGAUUAGCAACAGAUGAUUCCAGCAGUAGAGAAAAACCAAACCAAACCCCGGUAUUGUUUCAAAACCAAAUGGGACCUCAUAAUAAACCCAAAAACAGUACCAGAAUGCUUAGAUAUUCGACCCAAAUCUAAUAGACCAGCUACUAAAUGCCUCCAGAUACCCUCGUAUACCAAAAUCAAAGUAGAAGCAAAGAAAUUCAAAUAGGAGCUGAAAAUGAGUUAACUAGGCAAUGAAACAGUGAUAUAUUCUGGGUUUUUUUUAUUUUAAAUUUUUUUAAUUUUUGAAGGUUUGAAUCUAAAAAAUACAGAUCUGAAAAAUAAGGAAAAGAAGACUUCUUUCUUUUUUUUGUGUUUUUUGUUUUUAUUUUUAAUGUUUUGGAUUUUUUGAAGGUUUGAAUCUAAAAUAUACAAAUCUGGAAAAUAAGGAAAAGAAGACUUCUGAGAGAUUUUUGAUGGCUGAAAGGUACAUGGAAUUUUCAGGGAGUCUAAAACUUGUUAAUGAAGGCAUUGAGGUUGCCUUUUAUAGGCAACAAAUAGGGUAGAAUGUUCUAGAUGACACUCACACAUUUUUUCUCUUUUAAUUUCAGAUUUCACCUAUUAGUCCUUUAAUUUCUGACUUGUUUCUCAAGUUGCUGUCCUAAUUUUACUAAAUUAACACUAAACUCCUAUUCUAGAAGGCCCUACGGUGUUCUUUUAGCUAUACAAUACUUAUGCUACACCUAUCUUGAUUAUAAAAUUACUAUUCCUCAUAAAAUAACCCUUUUCUAUGUCUAAGCUAGCCUUAUUUACCACCUGAAACUACUAACUCCAGCUGACUACACCAAACCCCUUACCCUUGGCUAAAAUCUAACCAGAGUUAUUUAAAAAGGAUAAUAUAUUCAGCUAUAUCCAAACAACCUAUUUUAAACACUACCCUAAUUAACGCUAAUAUUGGAUUAACACUGAAUUAACAAUUAACAACUAACAUAAACUUAAUCAAAUCUGGGUCGAACCCAGAAGGACAAAACAAAUCAAAAUCAAACACUAAUAUUGGAUUAACACUGAAUUAACAAUUAACAACUAACAUAAACUAAAAAAAAUCUGGGUCGAACCGAGAGGACAACAAAUCAAAAUCAAUAUGAAAAAAUUAACACCUACUUUGAACAAAUUAAAAGUAAACUAAACUUUAUAGUACCGGACUUUAAACCUCUAACAAUGUUUUAUGGCUAACUAUUGAACAAGGUCAAAACCCAAAUUAAUCUUCAAACGAACAAGACAGGGAGAAAUCUAUCUAAACUAAAUAUUAAUCUAACCGAUUAAGCUAUUAAAUGAAGUAACGAAAGAGGAAAGAACUUAGAAUCGACCUAAUUAACGUACUAUAAAUGAACAGGACAGGGAGAAAUCUAUCUAAACUAAAGAUUAAUUGAACCGAUUAAGCUAUUAACAGAAGUAACGAAAGAGGAAAGAACUCCGAAUCGACCUAAUUAGCGUACUACUAAUAAACAAAGAAACUUGGACUACACUAACGAAGGUCAAACCAAAGAAGACGAGCAAAAGAAACCGAUAAAAUAAUAAAAACUAGAAGAGAAGACUCACCCAGGUUUCCAAAUAAAAUAUUAGACUAAUGAAUUAGUGAGCUUCGAAGAUGAUCAUGUAGAAAAUGUGUUUUUCAUUUCAUGAACAAGCUUACAUAGAUUCAAAAUGUGUACCUGGAAGGGGAUUUGAUAGAGGAAAGAGAUCAGAGCUUCGAAGAUGAUCAUGCAGCAAAUAUGUUUUUCUUUUCAUGAAGAAGUUUACAUCGAUUCCAAAUGUGUACCUGGAAAUGGAUUUGACAGAGGAAAGAGAUCAGUUACAAUAAACGGAUGAGCAGCAACACAAUAGUACUUGAAAACCCAGAAAAUAGAAGGAAUAGCCCGGAAACUAAUUGAAUACAGCAGGAUUAUAGAUGAUUCCAGUAGUAGAGAAAAACCAAAUCAAACCCCAAUAUUAUUUCAAAACCAAAUAGGACCGCAUAAUAAACACAAAAACAGUACCAGAAUGCUUAGAUAUUCAACACAAAUCUAAUCGACCAGCUACUAAAUACCUCCAGAUACCCUUGUAAUCCAAAAUCAAAGUAGAAGCAAAGAAAUUCAAAUAGAAGUUGAAAAUGAGUUAACUAGGCAAUGAAACAGUGAUAUAUUCUGAUUUUUUUUUGUGUUUUUUGUUUUUCUUUUUAAUGUUUUGGAUUUUUUGAAGGCUUGAAUCUAAUAAAUACAGAUCUGAAAAAUAAGGAAAAGAAGACUUCUGAGAGAUUUUUCAUGGCUGAAAGGUACAUGGAAUUUUCAGGGAGUCUAAAAUUGUUAAUGAAGGCAUUGAGGUUGCCUUUUAUAGGCAACAAAUAGGGUAGAAUGUUCUAGAUGACACUCACACAUUUUUUCUCUUUUAAUUUCAGAUUUCACGUAUUAGUCCUUAAAUUUCUGACUUGUUUCUCAAGUUACUGUCCUAAUUUUACUGAAUUAUACACUAAGCUCAUAUUCUUGAUGGCCCUACGCUGUUCUUUUAGCUAUACAAUACCUAUACUACCCCUAUCUUGAUUUUAAAAUUACUAUUCCUCAUAAAACAACCCUUUCUAUGUCUAAGCUACCCUUAUUUACCACCUGAAAUUACUAACUCCAGCUGACUACACCAAACCCCUUACCCUUGGCUAAAAUCUAACUAGUGUUAUUUAAAAAGGAUAAUGUAUUCAGCUAUAUCAAAACAACCUAUUUUCCUAAGCUACCCUUAUUUACCACCUGAAAUGACUAACUCCACCUUACUACACCAAACCCCUUACCCUUGGCUAAAAUCUAACUAGUGUUAUUUAAAAAGGAUAAUGUAUUCAGCUAUAUCAAAACAACAUAUUUUAAGCACUGCCCUAAUUCACACAAAUAUUGAAUUAACACUGAAUUAAUAAUUAACAACUAACAUAAACUGAAACAAAUCUGUGUCGAACCCAGAAGGGAAAAACAAAUAAAAAUCAAUAUGAACAAAUUAACACCUUCUUUGAACAAAUUAAAAGUAAACUAAUCUUUAUAGUACCGGACUUUAAACCUCUAACAACGUUAAAUGGCUAACUAUUGAACUAG